rnacentral:rRNA from 1 species
UACGGAGGGUGCAAGCGUUAAUCGGAAUUACUGGGCGUAAAGCGUACGUAGGCGGCUAUUUAAGUGGGAUGUGAAAGCCCUGGGCUCAACCUAGGAACUGCACCCCAAACUGGGUAGCUAGAGUACGGCAGAGGAGUGCGGAAUUUCCUGUGUAGCGGUGAAAUGCGUAGAGAUCUGAAGGAACAUCAGUGGCGAAGGCGGCCACCUGGCUCGACACUGACGCUGAGGUGCGAAAGCGUGGGGAGCAAACAGG